GACGAACGCUGGCGGCGGGCUUAACACAUGCAAGUCGAACGGAAAGGCCCGGCUUUUGUGGGGUGCUCGAGUGGCGAACGGGUGAGUAACACGUGAGUAACCUGCCCUUGACUUUGGGAUAACUUCAGGAAACUGGGGCUAAUACCGGAUAGGAGCUCCUGCUGCAUGGUGGGGGGGGGAAAGUUUCGGCGGUUGGGGAUGGACUCGCGGCUUAUCAGCUUGUUGGUGGGGUAGUGGCUUACCAAGGCUUUGACGGGUAGCCGGCCUGAGAGGGUGACCGGCCACAUUGGGACUGAGAUACGGCCCAGACUCCUAUGGGAGGCAGCAGUGGGGAAUAUUGCACAAUGGGCGGAAGCCUGAUGCAGCAACGCCGCGUGCGGGAUGACGGCCUUCGGGUUGUAAACCGAUUUCGCCUGUGACGAAGCGUGAGUGACGGUAAUGGGUAAAGAAGCACCGGCUAACUACGUG
rnacentral:rRNA from 1 species